rnacentral:rRNA from 1 species
GACGGAGGAUGCAAGUGUUAUCCGGAAUCACUGGGCGUAAAGCGUCUGUAGGUUGUUUAAAAAGUCUGCAGUUAAAGGUUGAAGCUUAACUUCAAAAAUGCCGUAGAAACUUUUAAACUAGAGGAUGGUAGGGGUAGAGGGAAUUUCCAGUGGAGCGGUGAAAUGUGUAGAUAUUGGAAAGAACACCAACGGCGAAAGCAACUCUGCUGGGCCGACACUGACACUGGAGAGACGAAAGCUAGGGGAGCGAAUGGG